rnacentral:rRNA from 1 species
AUGCGUAAUGGGAGCAGCUCAUCUUGCUCUUCUUCUCCGGUGGGGUUGCACCUGCAGCAAGUGUUUGGCUCGCAGGCUCCUCAUGGCCGGCAGCUUGGUAGCAGCUCCUCCUACUGCCCUCGUCCCAUGGCGGAGCUGCUGCAGGUGACGUGGCUGCCCGCGUCCGGCGGUGGCGGCCCCGGCGGUCUCCUCCACGCCUUGGCCUCUCUCAGCUUUCUGCUCCUCCUCGCCUACCUCUCGCUCUUCCUCCUCGCCAAGCUCUUCGCCCGACUCCACCGCGCAAGGGAGCGCCGUGGCCGUGACAACCGUGCGGAGAGUAACCCCGGGAAGGAGGACGUGGCCGCCGCCGACGACAUCCACCUCGCCGGAGGGGAGCGGCAGGCGGGGGGCACGCUGUUCUGGUUCGACGAGGCCGUGUUCGAGGACACCGCCCUGCUUGGCCUUGGCGACGAAGCAAAGAAUCACCUUUUGUACACUGGUGCUGGUGGUACGGCUGCGCAACAUUGCUUGGAGGUGGCGGAGACCAGCUGCGCCUUUCACACGGCCCCGCCGGAAUCCACCAACCGCGUCUCAUUCGCGCCGCGCGAGGAGGAGGACCACCGCGCCGAAAGUGAUGCCGCCACUGCCGGUGCCACCGCCACCGCGGCCCAGGAGCAGGAAGAGGCCAGGGUUGACGUGGCCGUCUCCGUAGCCGACGACGGCGUCCCCAUGGCGGCUGAUGGGUAUCGGCAGAAUGGUCCGGUCGCCGCGUCGUCGUCACUACCGAAGAAUGAUUCCGUUCAAGGCAAUCUCCUAGAGAGGCAACGAAGCAGAGGAGGAGGAGAAGGUCGCCGCGACGGUGAUCAUCGUGAAGACGGGCAUGGAGUAGAAGAAGAGCCGGGGGAGGAGGAGGAGAAGGCCGCGGGCUUUCCGGACGUGAAGCGGCUGGUGAACAGCCACGCGCUGGCCGACACGAAGAAGCUGCAGCUGGACGGCGGCGCGCGGCUGCGGCCGCGGCGAGAGGAGGAGGACGGGGACAGCUGCCGGUUCGGCGCGUCGACGCUGACGAGCGAGUCGACGUCCAAGAGCUCGGUGGAGUGGCAGAGCUCGACGGUGACGACCGGCAAGGACGCCUACUCGGACCUCUUCUCGUCGUCGUCGCGCCGGAGCUCGGCGAGGUGGGAGUCCUACACGCUCUUCCGCAAGUACGACGAGGACAUGGUCUACUUCCACCGCGUCGGCGCCCAGAAGCUCACCGAGACAGAGUCGUUCAGGUCGAUCAAGUGCCAGCCGCGGUCGAUGUCGCAGCGGAUCACGCACAAGCUGUCCAUGGCGGCGCCGAGGCCGAGGCCCGCGUCGGCGGAGGCGCCGGCGAUAGGGCUGCGCGACCCGUACCCGGAGCUGGAGCGGGUGUACGUGGCCCAGAUCUGCCUCACUUGGGAGGCCCUCAACUGGAACUACACCACCUUCCGCCGCCACAACGGCGGCGUCGUCGGCGGCACCAUGAUGCUGGAGGAGCGGUGCUGCCCGGCGCGCGUGGCGCAGGAGUUCCAGCAGUUCCAGGUGCUGCUCUACCGGUUCAUGGAGAACGAGCCCUUCGAGCACGGUCGCCGGCCCGAGGUGUACGCCCGGAUGAAGAACUCCUCCCCGAAGCUGCUCCUCGUCCCAGAGUUCAGAGAGGAGGAGGACGAGAAGGACGACCUGAUAUCGGCGGUGCAGUUCCUGCACAUCCUGGAGGAGUCCAUCCGGACGUUCAUGGCGUUCCUCCGCGCCGACAAGCGUAGCCACUACCAGAUGUUCAGGGAGAUGGUCCGGCGGAGGACGAGCGCCGCCGACCAGUCGAUCGUCAUCACCCUCAAGAGAACCAACAAGGCCAAGAAGAGCCGUCUCAAGGACCUGAGCCGGCCGCGGCGGUGCCUGAAGCGGAUCAAGCUGCGGGAGCAGGAGGAGGUGGCGGUGCUGCUGGGUCUCAUCGACCUCAAGGUGGUGGCCCGGGUGCUGCGCAUGCCGGAGAUCACGGAGCAGCAGCUGCACUGGUGCGAGGAGAAGAUGGGCCGGCUCCGUGUCGACCCGCAGCAGGGCACCAUGGAGCGAGACCCCUCACCCCUCUUCUUCCCCGCGCACUGA